AACGAACGCUGGCGGCAUGCCUAACACAUGCAAGUCGAACGAGACCUUCGGGUCUAGUGGCGCACGGGUGCGUAACGCGUGGGAAUCUGCCCUUGGGUUCGGAAUAACAGUGAGAAAUUACUGCUAAUACCGGAUGAUGUCUUCGGACCAAAGAUUUAUCGCCCAGGGAUGAGCCCGCGUAGGAUUAGUUAGUUGGUGGGGUAAUGGCCUACCAAGGCGACGAUCCUUAGCUGGUCUGAGAGGAUGAUCAGCCACACUGGGACUGAGACACGGCCCAGACUCCUACGGGAGGCAGCAGUGGGGAAUAUUGGACAAUGGGCGCAAGCCUGAUCCAGCAAUGCCGCGUGAGUGAUGAAGGCCUUAGGGUUGUAAAGCUCUUUUACCCGGGAUGAUAAUGACAGUACCGGGAGAAUAAGCUCCGGCUAACUCCGUG
rnacentral:rRNA from 1 species